rnacentral:rRNA from 1 species
GGGUCAGUGGGUUGGUCGUGCCACCGGUACGUACUGGCCUCACUGAUUCCUCCUUCCUGAAGAACCGUAAUGCCAUUAAUUUGGUGUUGCGGGGAAACAGGACUGUUACUUUGAAAAAAUUAGAGUGUUUAAAGCAAGCUAACGCUUGAAUACAUUAGCAUGGAAUAAUGAAAUAGGACGAUCGAUCCUAUUUUGUUGGUUUCUAGGAUUGACGUA